AUCAUUGUACUUUAUUUUUUCUGUUUUCUAGUUUUUUUAAUUUGUUGUUUUUCCCAAUUUAAUUAGUAGAAUAAAACGUAAUGAUUCAUCUUCAAUAAUUAAACACUUAAAAAGUUUAACCCAUCGGUUUACUACAGAGAUAUAUAUCAGAUACUUGGUGACACCAUGAAUCAUUUAGGCGUGUGUGUGUAUUAUUACGAUAGGAUGGUGACAACAAAGUAUAUAUGUUUGUUUAUUAUAAAAAAAAUGGUAUAUAGAUAUUUCGCAAAGAUGUGAUUUUGCUGGUACUAGUCUCUAUCUAUCUCAAUAUUGAGCGGCUCCUUCACAUUUGUUCAUCAAGAACCCUACACACACAUAUUAUUGGGGUGGUUAUAUAAUAAGACAAAAGAUCUUCGCAUUGAUCUUCCUGCAAGAACCUCCGUUCCCAUCAUUCUGACCUCCAUAGUUCGGCUCAUAAUCAAAUUUUAUACAUUUCUCUGGUUCCAGAUUCUCUUAACCAGUGGCUCCGUUUGGAGAAUCAAUGAUGCCACAUCUCUUGUCAUCAUAUAGUCAUCCCAACCAUUAGUUCAUUCAACAUGUCAUACUUUCACUCUAGUAUCCGAAGAUCCACUCUAACCUGAGGUUCGAUCUCCACGUCACUUCUUGGCAAUCUCAUGAAUCCCAUCAU